UCGCUCACCUGCUAGGGGCAGAAGGGCGAGUCCCCUUAGCCAGCUGCAGUCUUUAGGGCUGUGGACGGGUCCUUCCUCCUCUGCUAGGCAAAGAGGUGGAGAGUGGGCUGACACUUGCCGACCAGGAGUGGGCAAAGGACAUCUAAUGAGGAGAAACCCGGCUUCUCCCCCGUAAGGGGCGUGACCGCUCUAUGCUCCGCCUACUGCACCGCCAUUGCCCAUAUAUAGAAACAGCCACCUGGCCAGGUGUGCGUGCCUCCGGGGGCGGGGCCUGCGUGCAGCUGGGCGGGGCGCGCCGAGGGUCUGAGCGGGUGGGGAGCGCGGCGACGACGCCGGCGGCGGCACCCUACAUUUUUUACCUACUUUGGUGCGAUUCUCGCAGCCCGGCGAUGAUUGGCCAGCUGGGCACCGGGCCCUGGCGUGAGAGGAAAAAUCUGCACAUUUUUCCUCCUUCCCGAGGCGACCGGACCCGCUCUGGGCUCCCUAUGAGUCAGCGCUCACCUCCCGUCGGGAGCGCGGGAGCGAUUUGUUUAUCUUCGACCGGGUCCUGGAGGGGCCGAGGCCCGGGGUGUGACCGGGGGGUGGAGGCAGCCGCAGCCGAACCCCUCUGGAUCUGGGUUUUCAGCUCGAGAAUGGUGUUUUCCUAACGGGCGAUUGCACCAGACAUACCGCUUGCAGGGGGCCAGAAGGAACCCCAGCGCUUUUCCAGAGGGUAUCAGGGAGGAUUUACAAGUGGGAAGGUUACUUCACAUUAAAUUGUACGUAAUUUAGGCUGCCAAGAACAUAAUGGUCUAUACCGAAACUAUUUUAAUUCCCCAAAUAUGAGGCUUCUGGACAAGGCAGUCAGUAUGGGGUUUUUCAGGCUUGUUAUUUUAAUUCUGGGUACUAUUUUAAAGCUGCUCUAUGUGGUUUUUGUUCUGCCCUCUCAGUAUAGACCGUUUCGCAUUAUUUUUUAUUUUUAAGGCAAUAAGGAAGUUGGGGCAAUUUUAAGUCUUUACCACUGGCUGCAGGUCUGUGGUAGACUCCAACAGGGCUGCUCCAAGUCACGUUUGUAAGUUUCCUACUCAGUACAGACUGGGUGAGACCUCAAAGUUUGCAUUUCUAACACUCCGCAGGUGAGCUAUUACUAUUGGAUUCAGAUCACAGGCUGAGAAAUUGUGUGUCUAACUUUAUCCGUCUGGUCUGCAGAGGGUCUGGUCUGCAGAGGACGUGGUGGCUGCCUGGAACCAGGAGGCUUUCUUUCCAGUCUUAAAACUCAAGCUUAUUCAGUUAAGGACAUGUGUCUGUCUGCCAUGGCCUCUCACUUCUGCCUCCAGUUAUAUCCAAACAUAAGAACUGAAUGGUGUUACUGCCCUUAAGAUGUUCUGUUCCAGCAUCCUCAGUAAGUCAGAGUGGCCCUUGUGCCACUGGUGCUGGCCUGCCUUUCCUGCCACAUUGUCUCAUCUUCCACACCUUCCAGAGUGUGCACUCUUCCAAGCUAAACUUCUCAUUCUAGUAUCCUUUGUGCUCUUUCUGACUGCCAUAGUCACUUAUGCCACCACUUCCCAAGGGAUGGAUGGAUAGUGGACCUUCCUGUAAUCCUGCAGUUCACUUCCAAAUCUUAGUAACAAUUAACAUCACCCGAGGAUCUCGCUAAAAUGAGAUUGUGCAAAGCUUGGGUCUCAGCUUCCCCUGUGCAAUGCAGAUGCUGCUGGUCCUCAGAUCACACUUGGAAUAUCCAGCAUUUGUGAAUUUUCCCCACUGUUAAUGUAGCUCUGUAUGGAAUACAGUAUUUGCCACUACUGUACUAGUAAAUUAGACUGGUGGUUCAUUGAGGUCUAAAGAUACUUUAGAUGUACUUAUAUGAACAGGGCCAGCCCUUCAUAUGUCAUAAAUAUUUGCAGGUAUCCAGUGAGUGCAUCGUUAUCUGGAGAUGUUCAUGGGUUUAACAGGUAAACUUGUGUGCUGGUUCACCAUGGCUGGAAAUGAGCCUCUAUUUUCUUAGGGUCCCGUUGAACUUCAGCUGCUCUUUUAACAUCCAGUCUUUCUAAAUAGUCUCAUCCCUCUUCACAGAGGAAAACAGUUUUAACAUAAUGCUGUAGGCUGAAUGUGUAUGUGCUCCCCCAAAGGAGGAAGCCUGAUCUCUAACUUGUUGCUAUUGGGAGGUCGCCCUUCCAGAGUGAUCAGGUUCUAAGGGCAGAGCCCCCAUGAAUGGCAUCAGUGCCCUAAACCCAGAGACUCCUCUGCCCCUCCCCCUAUGAACACACACAGAGGACCAAGAUUUGUAACCAGGUCCUACUUCUUGUAGAUACUGAAUCUGCAGGAAAAAAUAACUCUCAGCCUGCUAGAGGUCAGUGGUGCUGAGUUCGUGUCUCUAGAAUAUCAAAGAAUGAGGACAGAAGUGAAGAGUAGGAAAGGCUUAUGGAGAGAAAGUUCUUGAGAGACAAGAGGGAUCCCGGAAAGCAGGUAGCCCUGGAAAGGGGUGGCCCCAGACAUGCUUGCUCUGCGAAUGUUCUGUCAAGCAAAAUCACAAGAUGGGUACACCGUGGGUCAAACUGCAGUCAACCGGCAGGAUCACAAGGAUGGCACAAAGCUAAUACUGGUCCAGUAGGAAAGCACAGCACUGGCAGGAGUGUACGGGAGACAUGAAGGCCAGGCCAUCCUGCCUCAGUCUUGAGGACUGGGCUCCUUUGGAUGUUCCUACAGCUGCAGUUUUGAUGAAUUUUCAUCUUCCGUGCUGACUCCCUCGAGGGCUCAUCCUUGUUUGACUGCCUAUGAAUUUCUGUCUAGCUUAGCUGUCUGUGGUAACUUGAUUUUGGGCUUCCCAGCCUCCAGAACAAUAAAAAUAAGUCUCA